GAUGAACGCUAGCUACAGGCUUAACACAUGCAAGUCGAGGGGUAACAAGAGAAAAGCUUGCUUUUCUUGUUGACGACCGGCGCACGGGUGAGUAACGCGUAUCCAACCUGCCCAUAACUAGGGAAUAACCUUGCGAAAGUAAGACUAAUACCCUAUAAUUUCCUUUGACGGCAUCUGACGAGGAAUAAAGAUUUAUCGGUUAUGGAUGGGGAUGCGUCUGAUUAGCUUGUUGGCGGGGUAACGGCCCACCAAGGCAACGAUCAGUAGGGGUUCUGAGGGGAAGGGCCCCCACAUUGGAACUGAGACACGGUCCAAACUCCUACGGGAGGCAGCAGUGAGGAAUAUUGGUCAAUGGGCGGAAGCCUGAACCAGCCAAGUAGCGUGCAGGAUGACGGCCCUAUGGGUUGUAAACUGCUUUUAUACAGGAGUAAAGUUAGCCACGUGUGGUUAUUUGUAGGUACUGUAUGAAUAAGGACCGGCUAAUUCCGUGCCAGCCGCCGCAGUAA
rnacentral:rRNA from 1 species